AGAAUAGUAUUCAAUUAUGAUAGCUAAUUUGCACUUAGCCGGUACCUUGUGGUCUAUUUUA
rnacentral:tRNA from 1 species